rnacentral:lncRNA from 1 species
GGGUGUUUCUUCCUGCACCCCUACAUUUUUCUUCCUGCACCCCACAGUCUUGUGCAAAGACAAAAUUGCCCUUUAAAAUUUUUGAAAUUACAACAUUACCCUUGAUGUUAUAAAACCCUAAAAACUUAAAAUGAUGCUCAUUUGUGCGUGGUGUCUGGCCGGCUUCUUCAACAGCAGAGGUCUUCUUCAGUGGCAAUCUCUUGCAAUAGCUUCUUCUUCCAAAUCUCAUCCAUCUCACAUUCAUAAAGGUACAUUCAUGUGUUCCGGACUUUGGUAUCCGUUUUUUUCAUGGAUUGUUGUUUCCGUAAAUGUUAUUUCACAUUCCAAAUCACAGAAUCCGGUAAGUUUUCGAAUUUGGGGAUCCGGUAGUUUACCGGAUUUGUGGAUCCGUUAGUUUCCCGGAUGUAAGGAUCCGGUAGUAUUCUGGAUUUAGGAAUCCGGUAGUGUUCCGGAUUUAGGAAUCCGGUAGUAUUUCGGAUUUAGGUGAAGUUUAAGUAGAGUCACACCAAAGAAAAGAAGAAGCUGCUGCUGCAGGUUUUUCUGUUGGUUGAUAAGCAUAUUGCUGAUUUUGAUUGUGGCCAUUGCCAUCACAGUUGGGAUAUUAUACUAUUAGAAUUCAAAGCAGUAGUUGUAAAUUCAGGUUUAGGCUGUGAUUUUUAUUAUUACUAUUUAAUUUGUUUUAUUUCUUUUGUGUUCUUUCAUUGGGAUUUCUCUUUUGAUGGAUUUUUGUUUCCACCACCACUUCGAGAUACUGUUCUUGUAUUUCUAUUCUAGGUUUUCACCCACUUCACUUACACAUUAUAUCUAUAGUAUAUGUUGAUAUUCUAUAUUUUCAGUACCGAAAAUCGUUAAACUUUUAUUAAUUAGAUCUGGACCCACAUUUACAAUGUUCAAAGUAAGAAGGAAUUCGCUUCGUUGAUCUACCAAAUUUACUCUGACGCCCUUUUAGUGCACCUUUUGUUUUGACUUUCUCCCUUGGUGGACAUAAAGAUGUGUUAUCUGGAUAGGCAAUCUCACGUAAUUUGGCUUUGAUGUUAAUCUUACCAGCCAUGUCAACCUCCUUGAAACGAUUCAUGAUGACAGCCCACUCUUGUUGGAUGGACAACUCUGCUGAAGUAUCAUCACUUGAAAUAUCUAAAAAGCUUAAUCGUGUCCAAAUGAGAUGCACUGACUGCAAUGGUAUGCUACCCACACCAAAGGAAGCCAGUUCACAAGCACAAGGAAGGCCAUGAGUAGAUCUAAUGGUGCACCCACAACGAGAUUUAUCUAAACCAACAUAUUGAACUCNNN